rnacentral:lncRNA from 1 species
AUGGAUCAGAAUACCUAUGUCAGUUCUUGAGAGCACUUCUUUGCAUUGCACGCAAGUGGUUGUGGUUUCCUAGGGAGUGCUCUUGGAGAUGUGUCUGUGGGGAAAGGAGGAAGGCAGGAUUUGGCAGAGGGAAAAGGUUGUGACUAAGAUCUCCUAUGAUCCUGUGUCAGUUACCUUUCCAUCAUUGUGACAAAAUACCUGUGAAAAACAAGUUAAAGGAGAAAAGAUUUAUUUUGGCUCAUGGUUUAAGAAGUGUCAGUCUGUGGUCAGCUGGCUCCAUUGCUUUCAGGCCUGUGGCAAGGCAGAAACAUCAUGCUAGAAGGGCAUGGCAGAGGAAAGUUGCUUACCUCGUGGCAGCCAGGGAAUGGGAGAAGGGGCUAGGGACAGGAUAUAGUCCCCAAGGGCAUGCCCCCAAGGACCCACACCCUUCAAAUAGGUCUCACCUCCUACAGUUUGUACUACCUCCCAACAGUCCAUUUGUCUAUGACUCUUACAUCAGUACCUUAAUCCAUAGAUGAGUUUAGGCCUCCAUGAGACCCUUCCCAAAGGUCUCACUUCUGAACACUGUUGGGAAUCAUGCCUUUAACACAUGAGCCUUGGAGAACAUUCUAGAUCCAAACUUUAACAUUUUCUGUGGGAGCUUUGAGCUAAAAAGACCACUUAGGUUUGCCUCAAGUUGAGGCAAUUAAGCGGGGCCUUUGAAUUUCUCUAUCAGUCCUUGGUUGGGGGUGCCCCUUGGGAAGGGCUGCAACCUUGGCUGAGGCAGGUCCUGCAGGCUGGGGCUAUGCCCAGGUGAGGGAUGCAGAUUUGUAUCUUCAGCAGCCCCUACUCCUAUAAGGUGGAGGUUACCUAACACCCCUGCAUUGGUCUGAGGAGAGUGGGCAGAAUAC